rnacentral:miRNA from 1 species
UCACAAGUGAGGAGGCAGGUU